rnacentral:lncRNA from 1 species
UGGCCCCGCGAAUGCCCGAACUGUCCCGCCCCACGCCCCGCCCCGCGGCGCCUUAAUCCUCCGGGCAGCGGCCCCGCCGGCCAUGAGACCGGUCACUCUGAGAAUGACCGGGAUACAAAGGCAGGACCCGGCUAGGUGUGGGCUCAUUCCCCGGAGUGGGGCUCCCGCGGGGGGGGAGGGCUCCAAAGGGGUCUUUGUGGGCGACAGGCUUGAGCGCCCAGGGCAGCAUUGUGUGGGGCCUGAAGGACGUGCGGGGCGGUCUGUGGUUGGGGCUGUUUGAUGCCAGGUGUGUCCCUGUGAAUCCAUGGUGCCAGGAAUGGCCUGCGCAGGCCACAGGCUGGUGUAACGCUGGUGGGUACCCCACACCUCGGGUGCUGAGUGAGUGUGUGGGGCAUUUCUGCAAGUGCCUAGUGUUGUGUCAGCCCUGUUCCGAGGUUGCCUGGAGUGUGUGUGACACUGGCUGACCGGGUAUCCCCCAUCUCCUGGUACGGGUCCCUGCAGAGGUCUCAGAGGCUGGGGAGGGAGUGGCUCAUGUCCCCUCCAUUGCAAAGGGCCUGGUGGGCCAGUUGGAGAUCAGACAGAUCCUGGCCAGGGUGCCCAAGGACUGAGAGAGGGGGCUUUUGUCUCAACUUUUCGCACCCAGAUUCUCCAGCAGCCUCUUGGCUCAGGGUCCCAUUCCAGGCUCUUUCUCUCCCUCUUCCACCAGCUCCGCCAUCUCAGACCCCCCCCCCAGCUGUGUCCAGGCCGUUCGGAGUCACAGGACAGGGUCACUGACCCAGGUAUGAGGUAUGAAUGGGUCUAUGUCUCCCCGUUUCCCACUCUGGGGUGCUGGGCACCAAGAGGCGGCGGGGGUGGGGGGUUGGCCUUGGGCCAGAAGUCUCCACACGUUGUUGUUGUUGUAGUUCAUUCCUGGUGCUGGCCAAGUUCAGGAUGUGCUGGGAGCUGCAGGGGGCUCCUGUCCUAGGCAAGGUCACAUCACUUUUAGGUCCCAGGUCACCUGUGCCCACCCUCAUAGGCUGGCCGCAGGGGGCUGGCUUCCCUCUGGUGAGUGGAGUCAGUGUCAUUUGUAACAUUUCUAUUCCCUGCAGGGAAAGGGCAUCGGGGUGGAUCUCCAGCGUGGCCUGGGCGUCCUUGCAGGAUCCUGUUUCGGAAAGAUUUUGGGCAGGUGAACCCUCAGCCCACUGUGUUCCCUCGAUGUUGCAGACGGAACCCCGCCCAAGGCUGGUGUCCCCAGGAUUCCCUUCUGCUUGGCCUGCGUGAGAGGGCUGCUGGAGCCCAGAUGUGGCCUGCGCUGCCCGCUAAUGAGAGCCGGGGGACGCAGGGAGAGAGCCGCACCUGCUCCACUAGGCGCCGCGGCCUCACCGCCCCGCCCGGGGACCCCGGGGACCCAGCUCGAGCGGGC